CUAUUUUGAGUCGAUUUAACCAAGGAUGACGAGAGAUGAACAAGGAUGAACAACUCUGAAGAGAAUUCUUGUCCAGGGUGAAAUGCAAAAAAUCUACAUACAUCAAGUAGAACUGAAAACAAAGAAUAUUGAACUAUUGCAAUAUGUUAGCAGUUUCCAUCGUUGCCAUCAUGGUAUAGUGGUAAAGACUGAGGCCAUCAUGAGCGAAAGUUGUGGAU